AGUUCGCCCAGGCGCCUGCGCGACUUUCCGACUUUUCGCAGCCGGUCUGCUUCAACUGCCCUCCCGGAAGUGUCUGUGCGGGUGAGCUCGGGGUCCGAGUUCCUGCUUUUGUCCUUUGAACCGGGAGUGGUUUUGACUUCAGAGCAGGCUAUUGGAAUUAACCCUGAUUUCCAAACGGUUGUGUGUCUGGGCUCCUAAAACUUGAGUCUCUGAGUUUCUUUAGUCUUCUCUUUCGAAGGGGGCUAGUAUUCCUGCCUUAUGUAGUUUUCUUGAAAAUUAUAUGAGAUUAGGUCCGUAAAACACUCAGUACUGUUCUCCAACAUCCUAAGUGCUCAAAAAAUACCUUAUUAUUACUCUUAAUUUUUGCCGUGCUGGGACCCAGGGAAUGAUAGACAAGUACCGUUGAGCUACACUUGCAGGUCGCUAUCAUGAUUGUUAUUUGUGGUAUGGGAGAGUGAACCCAGGGCCUUUCUAAUUUGUUGUUGUUGUUGUUUGCGACAACGUGUAACUAACUUGUCCAACAGCAUUAAAAAAAAAACAAAAAACAAGACAGUUUGCUUAAGUAGAAGCAAUGUGAAGAGUGCCUAGAGCUUUUGAAUUGGUCUAGGUGUGACACAGUUAAUUGCUAGAUGAAUCUAACCUGUUUUCUAAUUUGUAACAUUAGGAUUUAUACACAUCUCAAUGAACUCCCAGGGUGACCCCACGGCAAUGUGAGUGAAAGUGUCUCUGGCCAGGGUGGAUCCUUGCUUUAGUUUGAUAAUAGAAAUUAAAAUGAAAGCUACAGUGUAAGUUUACAGGCAAAAACUUUAAAAAGGAAAGAACUACAGCUUGAGUAGUAGCUGUAGGGGCACACUAAUGAAGAGCAUCAGACCUAUCUGUUCACAAAAGAAAGACCAGUCUGAUAGGUUAUUGUCUCAGUCCUGAUUUCUUUGCUUCAGAGGAAUCCUUAUGACUUGAGAGGCAGUUUGGUGCCCGUAAGAUGAAUCGUCAUGACUUGAGGGAUACUUUCAGUCAUGUGAAGCUGUUUAGGGCAAUAUUCUGAGCAUCACUGAUUGUGCUGUAAAUCUCUUACCCUGGUAUCUGUAGUCUUCAAGGGCAAUGAAAUAGGCUAGGUAAAUUUGUGGCUAAUAAAGCUUGUCGUUUUAGACUGAUAUUCCCUAAAUGACUAACAUGCCUAUAUGCAGACCUGAGAAGAAUAUGACGCACAGCUUCACAAGAUGAAGUUCAUGGAAACUAUACACUGGAAAAAUCAGCACUGUCAAAUUAAUUGCAAAUAUUUUCUCCCAGUUUGGUGUUCGACUUUUUUUUUUUUUUCUAUCGGUACCAGGGAUUAAACUCACGAAUGCCUGCUUGCAAGGCAGGUGCUUAUGCUGCUGAGCUAAAUCCCCAGCCCCUGUUUUUGGUCUUUUUGAGACAGAGUCUCACUAUGUAUUUCAAGCUGGCCUUGAACUCACUUUGUAGCCCAGGCUGGUCUCAAACUUGCAAUGAUUGUUCUGCCUCAGUCUCCCAAGUGCUGGGAUUAUGAGCAUGCACCACCAUGUACAGCACUUGACUUUUGACUUUUCCUAGAGUGUUUUCUGCCAUGCAAAAUGUUAGGUAUUUAUGGGAUUGAAUUUAUCCAUAUUUCAUUUUUCUUUGGUCCUAGAUUUUGUGUUAUAAUCAUAAAGACCUGCUAAAGUUAAAAAAAAAAAAUCUCCCUUGGUUUAUCCUCUUACUUUUAGGGAUUUUUUUUUUUUUUUCUUUUUGAGACAGGAUCUCCAUAUGUAUUUCAGACAGCCCUUGAACUACUGUGUAGCUCAUGCUGGCCUCAAACUCAUGAUGAGCCUCCUAUCCUGGGAUUACAGGUGUGUGCCACCACAUCCCCAGUUUUAUCUUGCAAUCUUUAAACCAUUUGGAAUUUAGUAAGGCAUAUGGAUGAUAACUUCCUUCCUUCUUCCGUUUUUUUAAAUGUUUUUAUCCUCUUUUCUCUUAAUUUUUUGUAUAUAGAGAAGGCAUGUUGGUUUCUUUUUCCUUUUCUACUUUUAUUAGUUAAUAUUUGUAGUAUGUAAUGAUUACAUUCACUGUAGAGAAUUGGUACACGUGUAUAACACAUUCCAAUUCUUUUAUUUUUCCCCCUCCCUCUACUCUGUUUUAUUUUCUCAGCAUUAGAUUCAUUUAUUUAUCUUAUAAGACCUUAUACAGUUAGUUACCAUACACACAGAUUGAAAACCAAACGAAUAGGGCCACCAAAUAACACAUAAAACAUAUAAGAAAAUUGUACUAAAUUAAGGUGAAGAGGAAAUUAAAAUUUUAAAAGCCUUCCAAGAAAGCCCACCACGAGUGCCCGCCAAAGCAAAACAGACAUGUCUGGACAAGCCUGCUAACAGAACAUUUCUUUGUGUAACCCAUGCUUGUUUAACUGAUGGCCUUGCAAUGUAACCUGAGAUGUUUAAACUCCCUUGUCAAUUUGUGAUGUCACCCAACCCUUCAGUAAUAAUAUAGCAAACCUGCUUUUGUACCUCCCACUUGCUCUCCCUAUAAAAGCUCCUAAAACCUGUGGAGCAGGACUCUGACUCUUUGGGAGUGAUCCUAGUCAGGCCCACCAAUGUAAUAAACUGCCUCUAAACCUUCAUGCGAUUUCUUCCUGUGUUUAGUCCAUUUUUCGUAAUAUUCUUGUUUCCCUGACCAGGAAGUGUGCUGACUGCUUAAGUCACCAACUGAGGUCUGGUGGCCAAAGCAGAGACCUCUUCAAUUUCCUUGGCAAGAAGGCGUGCCCUCCAGACCUUCUUGGAGUCCCCUCAGAGGCCCCAGGCCACAGGCCCCUGCUCAGCACUAAUGGCCUUCAUCUGCCUCAAAAAGAGGAGAAAGGACACAGUAAGGUCAGGUCACCAAUCAGUCAGUCCUGGUUAGGCCUGAGAAAGAGUUUGAUCACCUCUCAUUAGUUAAGGCCACCUGUGAGGGAAGGGAGUUGGAAUGUUUAACCUCUGAGUGCCUGCUGAAUAAUUGUGUGAGUGUUUGUAACUGAUGGUAAAAGCAGUAGACCAUUCUAUCUGUGCUCCAUGGUGACCUCAGAGCUACAAAGCUUGAUUUGGUCCCACCUGACUGGAACCUGCAGUUCUGUGGACACAUCUAGUAAGGAAAAAACAGAGGACCUACCAACACUUCUCCAUAAUCUGGGCAGACUCAGUGUUCCUGAGAGGCAAGAGACAAGUGGCAUCUGGAUGAUCUCUUUUUGAGGGGCACCUACCCUUUGUCUUUUGCGCCACCAUUUAAGGGUAUACCACAUUAAACCAUAGGGAGAUAGAAUGGAUACAAGCCAGAGUAAACUUACAGUCCUUGAUUGUACGCUGAAAAACUUCAAGAGAGGAUUCCCUGAUGACUAUGAAGUAAAAAUGAAACCUCAGAGGCUCCAGACAUACUACGAGAUCGACUGGCCUAUGUCCAGAUUGGCUGCCUGAAGGAAGUCUCGAUGUCAAGACUGUCCAGUAAGUCUAACAUGGCAUUAAAAAUUCCAAGAUUGGCUUCUCUGACCCAUUUCCUUACAUUGAUUCUUGGCUUAACCUGUGUCAAAGCCUGCCUCCUUGGCUUUGUGCCAUACAUGACAAAAAGACCAUUCUGAUCAUCAAGACAAAUUCCUGCAACCACCCAAAACUUUCUCAGGCCAGCCUUAAGCUAGAGAAACUUUAUCCUGAAGACCCUGAGUCUGAUCUGCCGCCUACUUACAUUUUAUGGGCCCCAAACUGCCCAGCUAGCCUUGGUGCCCCCUCCAUUGAUCCAGGUAUUCCCAUGACUGUCCUAGGGUGAAGGUGCCUUUCCAGAUUGUGCAAUGCUGCCAUCCCUGCUACAGCCAGCACCACUGCCACUAGAGCUGAGUCUGCUCCUGCUGCCACAACCAGAGCUGCUGCUACCGCCCCUCAGCCUCCCAGUUUCCAUAGCACCACUGUCAUCACUGACACCAUUCACACCUCAGAACCCACACAUGUUUUCAUCUGCUCCAGCUGCAUGCUGUAGUGGUACCUUGGCUCCAUCAGCAUUCCUGAUUCACUAGACCCACACUGCCUACCCUAAAUCCUGCUUCAGAAUCUCUCCCAUCGUCUAGAGGUCUACAUUUGCUGCAGUUUCCUACCAUCCCAGCUUCUACUGCUCCACUGCCAAGAACUGCUACAGUGCCUCCUGAACUCCAGAUUGAUUUCUCAUCAGGUGCUAUCUUUGCUGCUCAGAUUAGGGCUCCAGCUUAUUUCUAGCUGCUGCUUUGUGUCUACCCUGGAGCCCAAGGAGGCAUACCCAACCAGCAGACCUUGAUGUAUUUUCAGCUAUUCAGUUCCACUGAAUUAGAAGCAUCAUAACCCAUCUUACUCAGAGAAGCCCCAGGCAAUGACUGACCUCCUUAUAUUCAUCUUCCAGACCCACCUGUCAACAUGGGAUGACUAUCAACAACUCCUUCUGACCUUGUUUAAUACUGAAGAAUGCCACCACAUUCUAGAUGGGGCCCAAACCUGGCUAAAAUCAAAAGCCCCCUCCACUGUGGUUGAUCUUGAUUCUUGGGUAGGCACAGCCUUCCCCCAAGUAUGUCCAAACUGGGACUGCAAUAUGACACCAGGCCAUGAGGCCUUAGAUCAAUACUGCACAUCUCUCUUCACAGGACUCAAGGAAGGAGGCAAAAAGCCAAUAAACAUGUAACCAAAGUCACUCAAAAACCCAAUGAAAGUCCAGCCAAAUUUUUUGAGAGACACUGUGAAGCUUACGGAUCUAUACGCCAUUUGAUCCAGAGGUGCCUGAAAAUCAGCAGAUGGUCAAGGCUGCCUUCAUUGCACAAUCAGCCUCUAACGUCAGAAGGAAAACACAAAAGUUUGAUGACUUUGUUGGCGUGAACAUUUCCAAGUUACUUCACGUUGAUCAGAAGGCUUAUGUAAACCAAGGAAGAGGAAAAGCAGGAACAAUGAUAUAAGGCAGAUCGCAGAGCCCAAUAGAAAGCUGUUCUCUGGGCUAUAAUGUUAGGAAAGCCUGUUCCUGAAGUUUCUCAUCAAGGCCGGUCCCACCGUGGCAACAAAUAUAAGGGGUCCCCACAAACCUUACAAUCUAAAACUAUCAGGAGAACUUAUAGCCUGGCAGCUGACCACUGUGUUUUCUGAAGACAUUUUGGACACUGGAAAGAUAAAUGCCCUCUCUGUCUGUGGUACACAAAGAAACCUGAUUAUCUGGGACCACCUAAGCCUGAGCCUCUCCUCUCUCUCUCUGAUGACAAUGAGUAGACAGAGUGGGCUCCAUUAGAUUGGGCCCCUGGGAGGCCAUGGUCAUUGCCAGAAUCAAAGGGAAAGCCUAAUAUUUUUAUGCUGGACAGUGGGACUAAACAUUCAGUUGUGACUCAGUCUCUUUCUCCUUUAACCUCAUGGUAAAUCUAAGUUAUUGACACCUCUGGAGCCCCAUUGAAAAGAAAUUCUGUCAAAGCAGAUCCUGCAAGAUCAGUGGGCAUUAUAUCAAACGUGAAUUCUUAUACAUGGCUUAGUGCCCUAUCUCUAUUCUGGGACGUGAUCUUUCCAAGUUGGGAACAGCUAUCCCUUUUGAUCCAAAUCAGCCGGCCUCCCUCAUACUCAGGUCCACUGUUCCUAACUUGAUAUUGACUAUGAUUGUACCCCAAGAGGAGAAAUGGCACCUACAUCAGCCUGAAAUGCCUGGUUAUCAUAAUCCUGAGGUUUUGAGAGAAUUUUUCCCAGAAGUAUGGGCAGAGGACUCACCUCCAGGGCUUGCGAUUAAUCAUGCCCCUUUGGUGAUUGAACUCUGUCCUAUUGCAACCUCCAUUGCUGUUAAGCAGUACUGUAUGUCACUAGAGGCUUAGCUUGGCAUCCAGCCCCAUAUCUCUCGAAGUAGUUUAGAAUCCUGGUAAACUGCCAGUCACCUUGGAACACUCCCUUCCUCCUGGUGAGAAAGUCAAACAGGAACUACUGGCCAGGGCCUCUGUGCCAUCAACUCACCUACCACAGCUCUGCACCAAUAGUCCCCAACCUUUAUACUCUCUGGGUCUGCAUUUUUCUGAUGUUGCCUGGUUCACCUGUAUGGACUUAAACGAUGCUUUCUUCUGUUUGCAAGUGUUUGCAAACUUAGUAACAUGGUUGUCAAUCCUAUACACUUAAACAUAUAUGCAGUUAUCCAGUCAACCCUUAUUUGCCUUUGAAUGAGAGGACCAGAGAUGUGAUGGAAAGCCCAACUUCCCUGGACCAGUUUACCACAAGGUUUCAAGAACUCCCCCACAUUCUUUGGGAAAGCACUGGCUGCUGAUUUAGCCCAGUUUCAACAUGCAGAGUUUAACUAUACCCUCAGACAAUAUGCCCACGACAUACUAAUCUGAAAUUCAAGAUAGACUGCAGGAAGGGAACACAGGCCCUUCUUUCUCAUUUGGCUUUCUUAUCUGACUAUAAGGUCUCCUGGAAAAAGUCUGAAAUAUGUAAACAAAAAUUACAUUAUUUGGAAUUUAACUUAGAAAAAGGACUCAGGUACCUGGGCCCUGAGAGAAAAGAAGUCAUCUCUUCCAUUCCAAGACCUGAGGAUAAAAGACAGCUUAGAGGAUUCCUGGGCACUGUGGGCUUCUGUCAAAUUUGGAUACCAGGGUUUGAUGAAAAGGCUAAGCCUCUAGUGUAUCUAUGUGAUACACUAGCAGGAAAAGAAAAUGAAAAAGAGCUGUUAAAUUGAACUUUAGAACAGACUAAAUCCUUUCAGACCAUAAAAUGGACAGUGUCAAGCAACCCCAGCACUAGGUAUCCCUGAUGUGACCAGACCUGUUCAUUGAGGAAUGGAGACACCAGGAUAUAAUUUAAUGGCAGGAAGAAGGUGUGUCUCGUUCUCUUGCCAGUUUCUGCCUUGCUGUUUGCAGCCACCAUGAACUGCGGCCCUGCCAUGCCACCCUGCCUUGGAGCCAACCGAGUAUGGAUUAAAACCUCUAAAAACUGUAAGAAAUAAAACUUUCCUUUCCCCA